GAAGCGGCAACAGCUCAAAUUUGAAAUCUGGCGCAAGCCCGAGUUGUAAUUUGUAGAGGAUGCUUCUGGGCAGCGGCCGUUCUAAGUUCCUUGGAACAGGACGUCAUAGAGGGUGAGAAUCCCGUAUGUGACCGGCACGUACCCUCCACGUAGCUCCUUCGACGAGUCGAGUUGUUUGGGAAUGCAGCUCUAAAUGGGAGGUAAAUUCCUUCUAAAGCUAAAUACCGGCCAGAGACCGAUAGCGCACAAGUAGAGUGAUCGAAAGAUGAAAAGCACUUUGGAAAGAGAGUUAAAAAGCACGUGAAAUUGUUGAAAGGGAAGCGCUUACAACCAGACUUCGUGGCGGUGUUCCGCCGGUCUUCUGACCGGUCCACUCGCCGCCGCGAGGCCAGCAUCGUCUGGGGCCGCCGGAUAAGACCUUGGGAAUGUAGCUUGCCUCGGUAAGUGUUAUAGCCCAGGGUGAUGCGGCGUGCCUCGGGCGAGGUCCGCGCUUCGGCAAGGAUGCUGGCGUAAUGGUUGUCAGCGGCCCGUCUUGAAACACGGACCAAGGAGUCUAACAUCUAUGCGAGUGUUCGGGUGUCAAACCCCUACGCGUAAUGAAAGUGAACGGAGGUGGGAAGCGCAAGCUGCACCAUCGACCGAUCCUGAUGUCCUCGGAUGGAUUUGAGUAAGAGCAUAGCUGUUGGGACCCGAAAGAUGGUGAACUAUGCCUGAAUAGGGUGAAGCCAGAGGAAACUCUGGUGGA
rnacentral:rRNA from 1 species